CCCUAGCCCUGAUGGGAGGGAAAAUCCUUUUGUUCCGGUGUUCGGAACAAAAGAUUGGAAGGACAGCAGGAAAUAGC
rnacentral:sRNA from 2 species